rnacentral:rRNA from 1 species
UACGUAGGGUCCGAGCGUUGUCCGGAUUUAUUGGGCGUAAAGCGCUCGUAGGCGGCUCGGUAAGUCGGAUGUGAAAACUCGGGGCUCAACCCCGAGACGCCAUCCGAUACUGCUGUGGCUUGAGUCUGGUAGGGGAGAACGGAAUUCCUGGUGUAGCGGUGAAAUGCGCAGAUAUCAGGAGGAACACCGGUGGCGAAGGCGGUUCUCUGGGCCAGUACUGACGCUGAGGAGCGAAAGCGUGGGUAGCAAACAGG